AUGUUUACAGUUAUUUUUAAUUUAUCGCCUUGCCUACAUUGCCGGCCUCUUGAGUCAUCGCCCAUUUUUGCCGAUUCUAUUGCAAUUCACAAAGGAUAGAUUGUAUGCCUAACUGCAAAUGUAUACAUUGUAUUUUGCACGUAUGCAAGUGGCUACCUCAAAUAUUACUCAACCAGCCAAUCUCAACUCCAAACUGCCAGUCUCCAUUCAAACUUGCGCAUGAAACUCACUCAAAUUGACAAGAAAUUCCCUCAACAAUUUCCUUACGCAUGAUUCAGUGAAAUCAGCUGUUUGAAAUGCGCAAACUCCAAGCGACUACGCAAUGCAAUUGAAAUUGAUUUUGACUUACGGCGGGGAGAAGACGAGGAAACGCAGAACACAGAACGUUCAAUGUUCAAGAACGUUGAACGUUGAGCGCAACACCCACCACCACCACCAGGGAAAUUUGGAAAAACACCAAAAUUGUUGUAUGACCCAUUUUCAGUUGCAGAGUUCAAAGACCUUUCGCUUCUGAGCUGCGAGCUGCGAGCUGCCAGCGUUGAGCGUUGUGUGGGUGGGUUUCACAUGAUGUCACGUUGUGUUGGUGUGGAGCCCGAGGGUUGUUAUAAUGCAUAAUCAUCGCAGUCGCUUUUAUGCGUGUCCCAAGUUGUGGAUUGGUAAGCUAUCAUAUUAUGGUGGUUGCUAUUUGACAGAGCCUUCCCCAUUCCCCCCGCCACCAACGACCCAAACUCCUAUGUCCAACGCCCCCCUCCCAUCCCCCUCGCAACCCACAAUGUUUCAUGUCCAAUUUGAUUUGUGUUUACUUGGCUUAGUUUGACCCACAUCUGGGAUUACUCAGUAUGA